rnacentral:rRNA from 1 species
CUAACAAGGAUUCCCCUAGUAACUGCGAGUGAAGCGGGAAAAGCUCAAAUUUAAAAUCUGGUAGUCCUUGGCUGCCCGAGUUGUAAUCUAGAGAAGCGUUGUCCGCACUGGACCGUGUAUAAGUCUCCUGGAAUGGAGCGUCAUGGAGGGUGAGAAUCCCGUCUUUGACACGGACUGCCAGAGCUUUUGUGACAUGCUCUCAAAGAGUCGAGUUGUUUGGGAAUGCAGCUCUAAAUGGGUGGUAAAUUCCAUCUAAAGCUAAAUAUUGGCGAGAGACCGAUAGCGAACAAGUACCGUGAGGGAAAGAUGAAAAGAACUUUGGAAAGAGAGUUAAACAGUACGUGAAAUUGUUGAAAGGGAAACGCUUGAAGUCAGUCGCAUCGGCCAGGGAUCAACCUUGCUCUUUUGCUUGGUGUACUUUCUGGACGAUGGGUCAGCAUCAAUUUUGACCAGUGGAAAAGGGACAAGGGAAUGUGGCAUCUUCGGAUGUGUUAUAGCUCUUGAUCGUAUACAUUGGUUGGGAUUGGGGAACUCAGCACGCCGCAAGGCCGGGUUUUAAACCACGUUCGUGCUUAGGAUGCUGGCAUAAUGGCUUUAAUCGACCCGUCUU